GCCCUUAGAGUUUGAUCAUGGCUCAGGAUGAACGCUAGCGGCAGGCCUAAUACAUGCAAGUCGGACGGUAAUUCGGGUGUUUCGGCAUCUGAAACGAGUGGCGCACGGGUGCGUAACACGUAUGCAACCUACCCUGAACAGGAACAUAACCUUGCGAAAGCGGGGCUAAUAUUCCAUAGUAUACCGAGAGGGCAUCUUUUUGGUAUUAAAGUCUUCGGGCGGUUCAGGAUGGGCAUGCGCCCCAUUAGCUAGUUGGUGAGGUAACGGCUCACCAAGGCUGUGAUGGGUAGGGGUUCUGAGAGGAUUAUCCCCCACACUGGUACUGAGACACGGACCAGACUCCUACGGGAGGCAGCAGUAAGGAAUAUUGGGCAAUGGGCGAGAGCCUGACCCAGCCAUGCCGCGUGCAGGAUGACGGCCCUAUGGGUUGUAAACUGCUUUUCUAUGGGAAUAAACUCAUGUACUUGUACGUGAUUGCAGGUACCAUAGGAAUAAGCAUCGGCUAACUCCGUGCCAGCAGCCGCGGUAAUACGGAGGAUGCGAGCGUUAUCCGGAUUUAUUGGGUUUAAAGGGUGCGUAGGCGGACAUUUAAGUCAGAGGUGAAAUCCCCGGGCUCAACCUGGGAUCUGCCUAUGAAACUAGAUGUCUUGAGUGCAACCGAGGUGGGCGGAAUGUGGAGUGUAGCGGUGAAAUGCAUAGAUAUUCCACAGAACACCGAUAGCGAAGGCAGCUCACCAGAUUGUAACUGACGCUGAUGCACGAAAGCGUGGGGAGCAAACAGGAUUAGAUACCCUGGUAGUCCACGCCGUAAACGAUGAUCACUAGUUGUUGGCGAUACACA
rnacentral:rRNA from 1 species